rnacentral:misc_RNA from 1 species
UGUGGGAGCGAGCCUGCUCGCGAAGGCGUCGGUAUUUCCAGCAUCAGUGCAAGCUGACCCUCCGCUAUCGCGAGCAGGCUCGCUCCCACA